AUGUCACCUCAGAAGCUUUCCCUGAUAAGCCCAUGAGUUGUGUUGGUUCAGAUACACCCCAAUUGAUUAUUAGGAUUUUCUUCAGCAGUAGGGCAGUUGGAUUUUUACAACCCCAGAAGAUGAAGACUUGUCAUUAAGGAAGCAGACAUGAAGCAAUCGCUCAAGGUCGCCCAGUGGCAGUCUGAAUUACUAGCCUCUUAAACAUUUAAAGUUUGGUUAUGUAAUACACUGACAUGGCUAAAAAUUCAAAAUAAAAUUAAGGACUACAGUAGAAGUCUCUCUGCCUCUCCAGUUCCCAUUCUGGAGGUAGUGUGAUCAGUAUGUUUUUCCCAUCAGGAGAUACAUAAAUACAAUAUAUAUGUAUUUUUCCUUUUUUACCCAAAUGGUAGGAUGUUACACAUGUUGAUUUUUUUUUCAUGUAGUUCUAU
rnacentral:lncRNA from 1 species